rnacentral:rRNA from 1 species
GACGAACGCUGUCGGCGUGCUUAACACAUGCAAGUCGAACGGAAAGGCCCUGCUUUUGUGGGGUGCUCGAGUGGCGAACGGGUGAGUAACACGUGAGUAACCUGCCCUUGACUUUGGGAUAACUUCAGGAAACUGGGGCUAAUACCGGAUAGGAGCUCCUGCUGCAUGGUGGGGGUUGGAAAGUUUCGGCGGUUGGGGAUGGACUCGCGGCUUAUCAGCUUGUUGGUGGGGUAGUGGCUUACCAAGGCUUUGACGGGUAGCCGGCCUGAGAGGGUGACCGGCCACAUUGGGACUGAGAUACGGCCCAGACUCCCACGGGAGGCAGCAGUGGGGAAUAUUGCACAAUGGGCGGAAGCCUGAUGCAGCAACGCCGCGUGCGGGAUGACGGCCUUCGGGUUGUAAACCGCUUUCGCCUGUGACGAAGCGUGAGUGACGGUAAUGGGUAAAGAAGCACCGGCUAACUACGUGCCAGCAGCCGCGGUGAUACGUAGGGUGCGAGCGUUGUCCGGAUUUAUUGGGCGUAAAGGGCUCGUAGGUGGUUGAUCGCGUCGGAAGUGUAAUCUUGGGGCUUAACCCUGAGCGUGCUUUCGAUACGGGUUGACUUGAGGAAGGUAGGGGAGAAUGGAAUUCCUGGUGGAGCGGUGGAAUGCGCAGAUAUCAGGAGGAACACCAGUGGCGAAGGCGGUUCUCUGGGCCUUUCCUGACGCUGAGGAGCGAAAGCGUGGGGAGCGAACAGGCUUAGAUACCCUGGUAGUCCACGCUGUAAACGGUGGGUACUAGGUGUGGGGUCCAUUCCACGGGUUCCGUGCCGUAGCUAACGCUUUAAGUACCCCGCCUGGGGAGUACGGCCGCAAGGCUAAAACUCAAAGGAAUUGACGGGGCCCCGCACAAGCGGCGGAGCAUGCGGAUUAAUUCGAUGCAACGCGUAGAACCUUACCUGGGUUUGACAUGGAUCGGGAGUGCUCAGAGAUGGGUGUGCCUCUUUUGGGGUCGGUUCACAGGUGGUGCAUGCCUGUCGUCAGCUCGUGUCGUGAGAUGUUGGGUUAAGUCCCGCAACGAGCGCAACCCUUGUUCACUGUUGCCAGCACGUUAUGGUGGGGACUCAGUGGAGACCGCCGGGGUCAACUCGGAGGAAGGUGGGGAUGACGUCAAGUCCUCAUGCCCCUUAUGUCCAGGGCUUCACGCAUGCUACAAUGGCUGGUACAGAGAGUGGCGAGCCUGUGAGGGUGAGCGAAUCUCGGAAAGCCGGUCUCAGUUCGGAUUGGGGUCUGCAACUCGACCUCAUGAAGUCGGAGUCGCUAGUAAUCAAAGAUCAGCAACGCUGCGGUGAAUACGUUCCCGGGGCC